rnacentral:hammerhead_ribozyme from 1 species
ACCCAACUGAUGAGUUACAAAGAGGACGAAACGCGCGUCCUAGAU